AACACCAGUUCAGUGACUUCUCUUUCAUACCACUUCGACAUCUACUCUAUACUAUUUUAAAACCCUCCUCUCAUUCAAUCUAACUAUACCCCAUAGCUCUUCUCGAAGCUCCAAGUCACUCAACUCCUACAAUAUGUUUGCUCCAGGCCAUCCGCAGCUCUCUGAGGUCGAGAUAAAGGCUGGAGAAAAGGAGGCGUAUCAAACGGUGAAGACGGUCAUUGCAGGCAGCAUUGUCCUAUACCUCUCACCCUUCGCGAUAAGUUUCGUCAAGAAGCUUUUCUAAGCCGUGCCUCAGAGCAUGUGUUUAUUACGCAGAUUACAUUUUUCAAACAUGGGAUCUAUCAAAUCAAAUAGAUCCCCUGAGCUAAACGAAACGGAUUCGAUUGGUUCCCGGUGCCGGUGGAACCUAUUUUUUUUUCCUUUUUAAUCUGAUUUCCAAAUCAUGGAUACGGGGUGUUUGCGUAAAAUAUUUUUCUCUAAAGAGAGAACCCCCUUGGGGGAAGGGCUGGUUUUUGGUUGGUGAUAGCUACUAGACUCAUAUGUAUUGUAUAUGUAUCUCUGCAUCGUACUCUUCAUCUACAAUAAUUAUCAGGCAAGCGAAGGGUUAGGUUAUGGGAUGUAAAAUGAAAAUGAUGGACUAAUAUAUAUAUAUUUUUGGAUCCUCUGGUGUCUCCUCUCACAGGC
rnacentral:sRNA from 1 species